rnacentral:rRNA from 1 species
CGACGUCCUCGCCGCCAAGGGCGUCCAAGAGCUCGCCUUCAUCAACCGCCCGUGGCCGCUCGACAUCCGCCUCCCCGCCACGCUCUUCCGCUGCGCCCCCCUGACGCGCCUCUUCCUCAGCGCCUGGAGGCUCCCGGACACGGCGGCCGUCCCGCGCUCCGCCGCCUUCCCCAACCUCCGGGAGCUCGGCCUCUCCCUCGUCGCCAUGGAGGACCGCGACCUCGCCUUCCUGCUCGACAGAAGCCCCGUCCUGGAGAUCCUCACCAUCGUUGCGGCUCAGGUCGGAGUGCGCCUCCGCCUCGUCAGCCACAGCGUGCGGUGCGUUCAGCUCUGCUAUUCCAUCCUGGUGGACAUCUUGGUGGUGGACGCCCCUCGCCUGGAGAGGCUUUUGCAGUGGACAUGGGGCCUCGGCAGUAACUCCGACAAGUGCUGCAGGGUCAAGAUUGGCCAUGCACCCAACCUGCGUGCUAUUGGAUACCUUCAGCCAGGAGAGCAUGGCUUGGAGAUUGGCAACACCGCUAUCAAGGCUGGGACUAAGUUGAGCACCAGCACCCUUGUCCCGAGUGUCCAGAACUUGGCCUUGGAACUCACUUUCCAAGUCCGCAAUGACCUCAAGAAGGUGCAUAACUUCCUCCAAUGUUUUCCCAACGUCGAGACGCUCCAUAUCAGGUCCGAAAAGGCUCGUGGGGAGUCUACUGGCAAGGUUGGUCUCAAGUUUUGGCUCGAGGGCGGUCCCAUUACGUGUAUCCGGCAGCACUUGAAGAAGAUAAUUUUCCAUGACUUCCGAGGGUCGACAAAUGAAACUGCUUUCCUCAAGUUCAUCGCUGAGAAUGCUCGGGUGCUGAAGAAUAUGGUUAUUGUGGUGUCCGAUUGGUUGUUGUCUUCGGGAGUUGAUGCGCGUGCUAUACUGAAGCAUCUGACUUGUGCAAAAUGGGCCAGCGGAGCUUGUAAGUUUCAAGUUUUCAAGAGCAUACUCAGGGAAGGAGAGCGUCCGGUUUAUGGGGUCCUACUAGCUUCUGAGGUUUUGCCAUCCGACCCUUUUGACAAGAUCUACUAUCGUGAACCACUGUUGUAA